ACAAUGCUCCCUCACAUGGGGCACAGAGAGGAAGGAAUUUUUUUUUUAAGCCAAUUCCAGUCCCUGGAGCUGCAAACUGCCCUCAGGGCAAAGAAGCCUGCAGAAUAAUUGGGAGGAGUCUGGCAGGAAGGAAGCCAAGAAAGCACAAGCAAGAAUGUGUGAGAAGAUCACAGAGACCUAAAGAAGGGGAAGGGAAGAACCCACAUGUGAGAGAGAAGAGAUUGUCUGACUUGGUCUCUUAGGGCUCCUCAUCUCAAGAAGCCAGCAGGCAAGGGAAGGACAAACCAUCCUUGCAGGAAUAAUUCGUACUGAUCAUUUGGAGGAGAUUCGGCUAGUAUAGCUGCUGUUACAUAAUGAAGAAAAGGAAGAAUAUGUUUCAAACUCAGAUGAACCACUGGGGAGUCUCUUGAUACUCUGUUGCCUAAUUUGGAUGGUUAAUGGGUGUUGCGCCUUAAAGCACUAUCCAAUAAACCUCCUACAUGCAAAUCUCCAUCUCAGAAUCUGUAUCCAAGAGAUUCUACUCAAGACAUCAUCU
rnacentral:lncRNA from 10 species